UUCUCCAAUCGGAUGGCGGACGUAUCAAGUUCGACGAAUGGUAUUGAGAAGCUCAACAAUUCCAAUUACAAUAAUUGGAGUACCCGCAUGCAGUUUUAUUUGCGGGGUCAAGAUUUGUGGGAUAUUGUUGGCGGCAGCAACACCACGACACCCACAAACGAUGCCGAACUGAGAAAAU